GGUUUGAUUCUCUCAGAAAAAUUGACCACGGACGGGCAUGUCAUCGAAGCUCCAAAGUCCAUGUUGCCAACGACAUCCCGAGGCACAUCAAAAUUCAAUAGGCUAUUAAUCAUCUCAUCCACGCUAUCAUCCAUAAGAUAUCUCAUCCAAGGUUCCAAAUUGACACCAUUAUUCUCCAUAACAGGAGGCACCACUGAGUUGUUGGUGUUACUCUUGAUAGGUGUGGAUCCUUCUCCUUCAGCAAUGGUUGAAAUGGGAGCAAUGGAUGAUAUAUCAGGAGUCUUGGUGUAAUAAUCUCGGCCCAAUUUAGAACAUCCAAAGGUGUUACUUCUCCGGUCAUAGUACAUAUUCAUAGCAGGAACUUCAACAGGGGUAACAGAGCUCAUUGCAGGAACAAAUGGCAUGUUGUCAAGCCGAACAAGUGGCUGGUUUGAUGUGAAGUUAGCAGAUGGGUAGAAGAAAUCAUUUUGGUUGGCAAGGUUGUUGAGUGCUGGUAUGAAACUAUGUUCGUGUGUUGUGCUUGGCUUGGGUACUUUAGGAAUAACAUGGAGAACACAGCGGUCCUGAGGAAUUGUUGGUUCAUCUGGAAAGUUAAGCUUGGCCUUCUUGCCACGGAUCCUAUGUGCUUCAACAUCAUAAGCUCUUGCAGCUUCUUCAGCACUGUUGAAAGUACCAAGCCAAACACGGGCACCCUUAAUAGGAUCUCUGAUUUCAGCAGCCCACUUACCCCAGGGGCGUUGCCGGAUGCCCCUGAAUUGGUUUUUUCUCUUCCUUUUUCCUGGCCUUUGUGCGGGGCCAUCAAAACCAGCAAUAGUCCUGGUGCUCAAGUCAUCUGCAAUGCAAGAUCAAUGCCAAUGCUAACAGAGAUGAAUAUAGAAAAGCUUGUCUCACAAAAAGUAAUUAAUUUCAUCAUGUACAUGAAUUCAUAUGUAUAAUAUCACUAUUGUUAUGAAUACUAAACCAUCAUGGGUGCGAUCCUCUUCACGUUUCGGUGAAAGCAUUAGUCACCCACAAAAUAAAUUAAAUUACAACUUAUGGACAUGAUAUAGACCUUUGCCAUCAUUUUGUAAUUAUUGAUCUUUAAAUCCCAUUAUCGACCUGUGAAAAAAUCCCAUUAUCGAUGAUGCAGAAUCAAGGAUUUUUUUUCUAGUAGGACUCAACAUUUACCAAAAUAAUCCUUCAGACUGACAACUGAACCAAGUAUAGAAAAUUCCCAUUCAAACCUACAACCAUCUAAAACAAGGAAACAACCCAAAAGGUCAAGACCUCAAUAAAAAAACAGAGAAAUCCGGCCCUCUGUAGAUUUUCAAACCCAUUUGACUAUAAACAGUAAAUGUGUUAAUCUCCAUCAAAGGUCACAAAAAAUAUAAAUCACAAUAUCAACAACCUAGCAACCAAAAUUGAUUCUCUGCGGGAACAAUGGUGAAACCAACCUACCAGCCUAAUCAGUUCAAGGAAACAUGGCUGAGAAAUGAAAAAAGGCCUAGCCCUGAACCCAAUUCACUUCAUAACAUCCAAUCCAUUCCAACCCAAAAUCUCUAAACAAAUAGGUGACAGGGCAUCUCCAAUGACGUCCCUCAAAACGACCACAAAUGCGUCAAACCAAUUUUUAUCAUCCAACCCUGGAGCCGCAUAUGUCCGCGGAUGCAUCCGGCCCCCUGAAUUACCACAAAUCAUGCAAAAGCACGGGAAGAUUUCUAGGAGUUCGAGUGUUUGCCUUGCCAAUCAAAAUCCACCACGUACCUCAUGCCACAACCUCUCUCCUCUCUGUUUGCUUUGGAGGGAGGCCGCUGCUAUUUAGUCAAAGGCCAUUGCUUUUUGAUGGAAGUGAGUGGUCAAAAUAACUUGGAGAUCAGUUUGAUUUCUGUUAGAUUCUCUUUGGUGGAAGGUUUGCAUCUCUAACAAGCUAUUUUGGCAGAAGAUCUGCAACUCUCAAUGGUUAUUUGGAGGAAGUGAAUUGGGUUACGGCUCUCACAAGCUAGAAGUCAUUGUAUAUAGUGGAGCACCAUUUAUAUUUGAUGGAAGGCCAAUACUAUUUUCUUAAGUUAAUAGAGGCGGACAUUUGAGGAAUAGGGUUGGAUGACCAGCUCCCAUAUCCGAGUCUAUGGACGUGGCCAUACGCGUUCGCGGAUGUUUAGUGUGUCUGGUUAGCGGCUCAAUAUUGAAGAUGCCCUAACACCAACAAAUCAAGCCUUCCAACACCAACCCCACACAAUUUAUUUUCCUACCCAAGGAAUUUAAACCAAUCACACAAUAUCCUAGCUUCUACAGUGGUUAAUCGCAAAAGGUUAUAGAACGAGCAGAUUAAAACCUUUUGAGACGGAUCUCUUGGCAGCUAACGGGUUGAUCUCGACAACCUCGUCAUUUUCAUCCUCCGUAGAUAUCACGCCAUGCCCGCGAUCCAAGUCGAAGUACCCGGAGUCGGCGUCGAAGUCCUCAAAAUCGGUGUUGAAGGCCUCGUCCUCGUGUCGAAGCCGAGCUCGACCCCAAGCCCGUCGAGCCUCACGAAGCAUCAACUCCGACCACCGCCCUGCCGGGCUUCUUCUUCUCAGGCCACAACACCGCCUCAACCACCCUCCUCGUAACCGUGGGUGGCUUGUGGGCUGCGAGGAUCGUACUAUGCACCUAUGACAUUUAACCAAUAUCUUCUCAUAGUCAUGCCCCUCCCCUGUGCACGUUUAACUGACAUCUUCUCCUAAAUGAUUGGAUGUAAUUUUAAGAUUCUUGUAAAUGACUCAUGGCUAGUUACUCAUUUAUUAGCUCAAGAUUGUACUACGCACCUAUAGUAUGGCUGUACUACUACUAUCAUACACUCUCCGUCCGGGUUUAUUGGACGGGUUCAUCCAACCGAACGUUUAACCAAAAAUCUUCUCAUAAAUGAUUGUGCAUAAUGCUAAAUAAUCUUCUCAUAAAUGAUGGUGUGUAAUGUGAAUAUCUUUGAAAAUCACUCAUAGCUAUUUACGCCAUUUAUUAGCUCAGGAUUAUACUACACACUUGAAUUAUGAGUGUACUACAAUGUUCGUACUCUGCUCGUCCAAGUUUAUUGGACGGGUUCAUCCAACCAAACUUUUAACCAAUUAAUAUCUUCUCAUAAAUGAUUGUAUAUAAUUUUAAGAUCCACGCAAAUAACUCAUAGCUAGUUAUUUCAUUUAUUAGCUCAAGAUUGUAGUACAUCCAACCAAAAGUUUAACCAAUAUCUUCUCAUAAAUGAUUAUGUGUAACAUUAGGAUUUUUGUAAAUCACCUAUAGCUACCCGCUCCAUUUUUCUCAAAGAAACGGAAGCUUACUCCAUUUAGUUACUUGCAUUACUUCAUGUGCAAUCAGUAGCAUUAUCCUAUGGUGGUUAUAUAAAGUGUAAGUUAGCAUUGCAAAUUUCUCAUCGCAUCCUUGAUCUAACCAUGUAUAUGGAGAUCUAACAUUUUUCUAAACUAGCAUGACAUCGUUGCUCUAUGACCCUAUGUCUUGCUUAAUAUUCAACCAAGAUCCCCUUAUAAAUGACUUUGUAACUCUACGAUCCUAGUAAAUCACACAUAUAUACUUACCCCAUUGAGCUACUACCAUGUAUGUGCAAUCAUUAGCAUUAUUAUACAUUUAGUUUGUGAAUUCUAAAUGAGCAUUGCAACUUUUUUAUAUUGCACUCAUGAUCUAACCAUGUAUAUAGAUAUUAUUAACUAUUUUUGUAAAGUAACAUGGCAACGUUGCUUCACGACUUUGUGUCUUAGUUGACACCGAGAAGAAAUAAUUUGAGAGUGGUUUCGUUUCUUGUGAGAAGUGUGACUAUCUGAUGCAUGAACGAAGCAACAACUCUGGGUCAAAAUAUAUAAUUUGCUUAGAAAAUCUACUCAUGAGUUUUUUAUACUCAAAUAUCAUAAAAUUGUGCAAACCAUAAAUACAAAACUUUAGGAAUAUCCAAGAGCUAACAAUACACAUGGUUUAUCAACCUUUGUCCUACGUAAGAAUGGGACUAGAAAUGUAACUUGGGUGCGGUAUUUCUAGGUUGGUUGAUGCAUAAAUAACAUUGUUACCUAGGGAUCGAUACAUAAAUGUGUGUGGUCGCUCUAUUUACAGAGAGAAAAGGAGUGUAAAUCGCGUGAAAUUGAAAAGGUACGAGUGUAAACCACACAAAACUGGGAAACAUAAGUGUAAACCACGUGAAAAUAAAAAAUGACUAUUGCGGCCAGGCUUAUACACGGUUUUAAACUUUUGUUUCCUACCUAAAAAUGAGAAAUUGUGGUAGUAAAAAAUGUUCUUACAGCAAACAAGGAUGAAAAGUGACCCUAACACAUGGAUUAAAAGCAGUUAUCGCGACAUGGGACAGAUACCUUUGGAGAGGGACCUCCUGAUGGCGACAAACGGCUUGAUCUCGACAAUCUCAUCGUUGUUAUCCUCAUCAGCCACUCCAUCAUGCCUGAGCUCCAAGUCGGAGUCCCCGGAGUCGACCUCGAACUCCUCGUAGUCGUUCUCCAUCUUGAGCCCGAUCCCAAACUUGCUGAGCCCCAAGAAGUGUCGUUUGUCGAGUCUUCUUCUUCUCAAGCAAAUGGUAGAGGUUCGUGAGGAUCACACCGUCGCAUAUGGCCGCUAGCACCUCAUCAUAGUCAUUGGGGAAAAGGAUCCUCUCCGGAAUUGGUAAAUUGGUAUAUGUUUUAAUGAAACGGAGGAGUGGGUGUGUAGGUUGGCAGAUGGGGUCGAGGACAGCCUCGUAUAUCGCGGUGGACACAUGAAUGUGUCACCCUUGUGAGGGGGUGCAUGGUGGGGCCCAUACAUCGGUGAGGGGCCAUGGAGCGGGUGAAAGGCAUGAUGUAGGUUCUGGAAGUGGGCAUUUCCAUUCGGGGAAAUAUUUUGCGUCGGCCCCUUGAGAGAAUUGGUAUUUCUGGUAUACCCCUAGGAAAUGAAUGGGCGGAGAAUUGAUUUUUUAUCUUUAGUAGCACGCCAUUUAUUUUCUCAAGACUAUACGACACCCCUUCCCUAAGAAAAAUUUUUACGACACUCAUGUACUACUAUAUUAUAUUUGUAUUGUACUCACUAGCAUUGUCCAACAAAGAUAUUAAGCGAAGAUAUCUAGGUCAUCCUUUCAAAUCACUCAUGGCCACUAGUCCAUUGAGUUAUUACCAGAAACACUACUUCAUUGAGUUAGUAGCAUGUAUGUGCAAUCAUUAGCAUUAUCAUUAUACAUGUUAGUUAUAUGAAUGGGUUUGUUUAGGGCAAGUCUGGAUGUGAAAGAAUUAUGUCACAUCUUCAUCAUUUUGUUGUUGGGCCGAGCCUUUAGUGGGUUAGAUUGUUGUGGGUGAGUGCUUUGUUAGGAAAUUUUAAGAUGGGCUUUUUAUUCUUUGCAAGUUGGAUUAUUUUAUUAAUCCUUUAAAGGAUGAUGGAGUACCCGCCUCCUAGGGGGCUUCACUGGCAAGAGUGUCCUCUGCGCCAUCCUUUUCCAGGUUGCGUGCCGCAUGGAUCUCUCGGGGUUUCUCCAUGUCGUCCGAUCUUCCCAGACGACGCUCAACAGGAUGACCCACCUUGGUUGUCCAUGUGCAUUUGCAUUCAAACGCAAUUUUUUUAAUAAUGCACAAAUUUAGAGGGAGCUCUUGCUUAUCACAUACUUCUCAAAGCGAUGAUGUAUUCUAUUCACUUAAUCAUUUGACGAAACUUUGAUCUAUAUGUUGUCAUCAAUUACCAAAAGGGGGGAGAUUGAAGUGCAACUAAUCCCCGGGUGGUUUUGGUAAUUCAUAAAAACAUAUAUCUCAUUGAACUAAUAUCCAUUUAAGAUAAGUAUUUCAAGAUGUUCAAUGAUUGGCAUGGCAUGAAAUAGAGAUGUGUACCCCUCCAAAUGCUAAGGACAAGGAUUGGCAAAAGCUCAAGACUUUUCAUUUCUAUUUUACUGAUCCAAGAUCACAUUGAGUCCAUGGGAAAAUCCAAUACUAUUAAAAGGGGAUGAGGUGUUGCUUAAUGGUCUACUUGCUCAAGUGUUUAGUGAUAUUGCUCCAAAACCCUCAGUGACUUUAUCUAUCCAAAUUUUUCCAAACCCUAAUUCCAAACUCGGCCCCACGGAUACUUCUCAUCCGGAGCCACCGAGUUCAUGCUGACAUAGCCACUGCCAAAACCCUAACAGUUCAGUCACACCGAUAUGGAUCUCGGUGUCACCAAGAUGGCCUUGCCAGCACUCUGUGACUUGUUGCAUUCACUUCGGUCUCACCGAGAUGUUGCAAUCGGUCCCACCAAGUUGGCUUGACUGAUUCUCUAUUGCUUAUUGCUUCACUUCAAUCCCACCGAGUUGAUGCAAUCGGCGCCACCGAGUUGAAGUUUUCCCUAAGCCCUGGCACAUUGAUCCCACCGAGAUUCCUAACGUUCAUAUUUUUGUACUGGUUGGUGCCACCGAGUUUACUAAUUGGUGCAACCGAGACGGGUCAAAAGUCUGUAAUGGUUGGAUUUUGUGUGGAGGCUAUAUAUACCCCUCCACCCCUCCUUCAUAAGUGAGGAGAGCCAUCAGAACGUGCCUACACUUCCACCAUCCAUUUUCUGAUAGAACCACCUACUCAUGUGUUGAGAUCAAGAGAUUUCAUUCCUACCAUUUGAACCUUGAUUUCUAGCCUUCCCCAAGUUGCUUUCUACUCAAAUCCUUCUGUCACCAUAGCCAAAUCUGUGAGAGAGAGUUGAGUGUUGGGGAGACUAGCAUUUGAAGCACAAGAGCAAGGAGUUCAUUAUCAACACAUCAUCUAUUAUAUUUUGGAGAGUGGUGUCUCCCAUAUUGGUUAGGUGUUGCUUGGGAGCCUCAGACAAGAUGUGGAGUUGAACCAAGAAGUUUGUAAGGGCAAGGAGAUCGCCUACUUCAUGAAGAUCUACCCGAGUGAGGCGAGUCUUUCGUGGGAGAUGGUCAUGGUGAGAUAGACAAGGUUGCUUCUUCGUGGACCCUUCGUGGGUGGAGCCCUCCAUGGACUCGUGCAGCCGUUACCCUUUCUGGGUUGAAGUCUCAAUCAGUGUGGACAUAUGAUAGCACCACCUAUCGGAACCACGCCAAAAAUAUUCGUGUCUCCGUUGUGUUUGCGUUCUCCAAACCCUUCCAUUUACCUUCAUAUGCAAUGCUUUAUUUCCGCUGCUAUACUCUUAGAAUUGCAUGUGUAGGGAAAAGGAUAGAUUUUUAUUUGGUCAAGUAGUCUAAUCACCCCUCCCCCCCUCCCAGACAUACUUUCGAUCUACAGUUCCCCUACAGGAGAGAAGAGUUGGAGCGAUCUCAGCGAUAGACUGUCCUUGGAGCCAAUGGUCGCACCAGAACCGGCACAUCCUGCCAUCCCCGAUGGUCGAGUUCGUGGAAGCAUGGAGGAAUUUACUAGUUUCCUCGUCCCUGGGAAGUUGGAGGUGGCUCCAUGGGCGGGCGGGAUCAGUAGCCUGCAGCCAUAGCCAAUGAGCGUGCAGUGCGAUGUCGAUGCGGUGAAUAUCGUGAAUGGCCUGGCCUCCAAGCUCAAGAGGUCGAGAGAUCUUUGGCCAUCUGACAAGGCAGCAGCCGGCCCUAGCUUCUUUACGGCCAUGCCACAAGAAGUCGCGGACCACUAUUGUGAUCUUCUUGAGGAUGGAGGGGUUUAUGGCCAUGGCGAGUAAGAUAUGCACCGGCAUGGCCGUGAGAACGUGGUGAACAAGAGCGAGUCGCUCGCCGCGCGAGAGGAGGGAAGCUUUCCAAGUGGCCAGCUUUUUCACCAAUCUGUCCACGAGCGGGAGGAGUGUCGAGGCGUGAAUCUUGCGGACCGAGAGCGGUAGUCCGAGGUAAGGGACGGGAAAAGUGGUCACAGUGCAUGAUAGCAUGGCCGCAAUGGUGUCAACCACCUCGGGGCGCACUGGAUUGGGGUUGCUGAUCACUUCAUGCAGUUUGUGCGAAGUCCGGAGGCAUCGCUGAAGAUGUGGAGGAGCUCCCGAAUGGUCGCCAGCUCCGCUGGGUUCGGGUGACAAAAGACGACCACGUCAUCUGCAAAUAGGGAAAUACUUGAUGCGGCGUGGCGCGUGGUGAGGCGCUGCAGCAUGCCGGAGGACACCGAUGUGCUAAAGCAGGUUGAUGAGCUUGUCGAUGAUGGUUGCGAAGAGCAUAGGAGACAAGGGGUCACCCUACCGCAGGCCUCAGGCAUGGUCAAUCGGCGGGCCCUGGUUGCCGUUUAGGAGGACGCGGGUCGAAGCCGUGGAUGUGAGUAUGGAUAUCCACUCACACUAGCAUCGACCAAAUCCGAGGUGCACCAAAACCUCGAGGAGAAAGGUCCAGGACACAGUGUCAAAAGCCUUCGCAAUGUCCAGCUUGAGGAGAACUCUCAUCUCCUUGAGGUUGUGAAGGAGCCAGGCGGUCUGUUGCACUUGGAGGAAAUUGACGCAAACACAUCUCCCAGCAAUGAAUGCACUCCGGUUGACGGAGACAAUUUCCCCCAUACGGGGCGAGCCAAAGGGACAGGACCUUGGCAAAUAGCUUUGCCAGGAUGUGAUCAAGCUGAUGGGCCGGUAGUCCGUGAGCGCCGCCGCUUCGCGUCUCCUGGGCAGGAGCAAAAGCAAGGCUUCAUUAAGUUUGUGAAAACCACGGCCGUUCAUGGCAUAGAGCUUCUCGAAGGCCGCGCAAAUGUCACCCUUCAUGAUGGGCCAGCAAGCACGUAGGAACUCCAAAGUGAAUCCAUCCGGCCCGGGCGCUUUCCCGGUGGGCAUUUUCUUGAUAGCUUCCCGUAUCUCGGCCUCGGAGAACGGCAGGUCAAGCUUAGACAAGUCGAAGUUUCUGCUGUCGAUGGUCUCUAGGCAGAUGGAGUGAUCUCGCGGAGUGGAGGAGCCAAGAAUGGUGGUGAAGUGUUUGUAGGCCGCCUGAGACAUGGCGCUCUCCUAGGCAACGCUGAUAUCGAGUUCUUUAUUGUUGAACGAAGGGCUCCUUGAUUAACUUGUCCGCAAGUAGCUGGUUUGUUGUGAGUAGUUUGUGGUAAAUCAAUAUGAACGGUUGUGUUUUCUAUGGCAAUUAAAUGCAUCGAUCGAUAUGCAUAGACAAUAAUACUCCUGUAUUGAUUGAUAGUUCGUAGAUAUAUUAGAUUUGUGUUGGCCGGUGCAAAUUAAGAAUCCAAACUGUAGGGUUCUUGAACUCACGGUACGUAUCUCAGUUUAGUCAUUUUCACUCAUUUGAUGUCUCCUACUUCACAAGUCUCUGUGAACCUGCUAUGUUUAGAUAGGCAAGACCAUUCAGGGUCUGUUGUGUUGAUAUACUACACAGUUUUGCAUUUGCUAAUUGCAGUCCUGAGGUUAAAAUUCAGAUAACAUAUGGAUGCUUCAAUAUUUGGAUAUUGGUCUGUUGUGCGCUACCUGGUGCAAAUUAAGGAAAUUGUACUCCCAUUCAUCAACUUACUGUUGAUCUCUGCCUAUGUAACUGAUUCCUGAUAACAGAUUUUGUAGGGCGCGGCGAUGAACAUGGAUCUGCUUCUGUGUAUCGUCAGGGCCGGCUCUGGGGGUAGGCCACCUUGGCCUGGGCCAAGGGCCCCGGUCUGGGAGGGCCCAUCAUCAAAUACAUAUAAGACUAUACAUCUAUUUGGCUGGAAAAAAAUGAAUCAGUACAGGCCCAGCCCAACUACAGGAGAGGAAAAGGCACGACGCCUGGCAUACUACAUUGAUCGAUUCGAUCGAUUGAAUCGCAUCUCGGCAUCUGCGUCUGGUCCUGGUUGCCUCGGGGGCUCGUCCGCCUCCGCCUGCUGCUUUCUCUGUCUCUCGAAGACUCGCACGGACGCCCGGCCGGCCAGCCGCCGGCUGCUGCAAUCAGGUGGCCCUUUAAUCCUUGAUUCCGUGAUUUCCGUCUUGAUUUUCUUUGUACGGUUGAUUUUCUUGCUUUUUUGGCGUAAACGUAUUUAUCUUUUCAGUUUCAUCAUAUUUCUAGUCGUAUUGAUCUAUUGAAGCAUUAUUGUCUAUGAAUUAGAAUUUGGAUCUAUUUAAGGUAAUCAAACUAGCAGGGAAUAUUGUUUCUCAUACUUAAUAUUUUGCUACUUUAUUAGUCUUCCUUUCAUGAUAUGACAUAGUCUGCGUGAUUAUCAAUAUUUUAUAUGUUAUACGUCUCAGAAUAAUAAAAUAUGAUCGGAUAUGUGUACAUAUAUAUUACCUAUAAGGGCCCUUUUUCAACUUGGCCAAGGGCCCCGAAAAACAUAGAGCCGGCCCUGUGUAUCAUGUUAGCACGCUGGAGAAGGCGAGAAACUGAGGCUUCGGUCAUUCACCUGUGGGAACCUUCGUUUGUCUUGACGAAGGAUAUGAAUUCUACAAUGUUUAUUCCUUGGAAUAUGGUUUUGGAGUUAGGUGUGGAGCGAGCAGUAUGGAUUCUCAUGGAACUAAAUGCAUAUAGCAAUUCGUUUGCGCGUGUGAGGUAUGCAAUUAUCCUCCCCUUGUAAUUAGUAGUUAGUACUUUUGCUCUUUGUGUUAUUUAUCAUCUUGGCGGUCUCAUAGUAAUAUCGACAAGAACACGAGGGACUUGAUUUGCCGACUAAGGGAAAACAAUGUGCCCACACAUUGCUGAUAUUGGAGCAAAGAAUUUGUGGUAUGAGGAUCUCAGUAAGACCUUGAAAACCUUGCUAGGAUCUCAGUAAGACCUUGAAAACCUUGCUAGGACCUUGAAGCUUCAUUAUGAGUUAGUAAAAACGCCCUUUAUCCAAAAAAAGGAUCAAAGCAGAGGAUCCAACAUUCCAGUAUACUUUUCAGGUUGGUAGUAACUGUAGAGUGAGGCCACUACUCUGGACCAGUGGCCAGAACCUCCAGUACAAACACUUUGACGAUGUGAUUAUCUUCGACCCCAUCUACAGAUCGAACAUGUAUGAAAAACCGUUCGGCCUAUUUGUUGGGGUCAACAACAACUUCAAGACCAUCGGCAGGGUGAUGAUGAGAGAUGGAAAAAUAGACCGGUAAGAUUACUUCCGUACACUCUUCUCCCUACCCAACAUUAUCUUAUGCAAACAUUAUUAUUUUUUGAGAUUGAUUUACUUGGUCAUUUCCUCUGUACAGGACAUGUGUGCUGUUCUGAAAAAGGAGCUUCUGUGUUGGUGGUAGCCGUGAUGGUAGUUUUACACAGAGUUGUAGCACGGGAAAGUGUGCCUCAUAAUUCGGAACGAGAUCCUCUCACGUAGAACAAAACUACUGCAGAGGGACGUCCAACACGGAUCACCGUCCGUGCAGCAUCCAAUGGCAACGGCUAAACACUGGCAAAACAUAGCGAAGCCAUCGGCCCAUGAGGACGAUGCGGCCCAGUCCAAUGAGAUGGUGCGAGGACGACAAAAACGCAUGAGGUCGACGGAACGCGAUAGUUUAAGUGAACACGGUGUCUUGCUCAUCGAUUUGUACGUAAAUUGUGAAUCUCUCCCUUUCUUUUCCCAUCUUGAAAUUCGCUUUAAUAAUAAGAGUGGAAUUAGUCGAGCUGUCGUCAUCAGAUUUGUUUUGAAUUCGAUAAAGCUUUGCGCUCCUCUACGUCGAUUUUGUAAUUAGGGCAACUCGAACGCGCCGACACAAUGAGCCAUGUAUGUCCGUUUGCAUUGAAAUGUAUAUUGGAGGUCGACGCAACUCCAAUGCGCCGACGCAAACGUGUGCGGAUUUUGCUCGCUUUUUUCCGUUUGGUCGACCGAGCGGACGCGUGUUAGAGUUGCCCUAAUUACAAGAUUAACGCAGAGUUGCACAAAGAUUUAUCGAAUUCAAAACAAAUCUGAUGACGAUAGUUCGACUAAUUCCACUCUUAUUAUUAAAGCAAAUCUCAAGAUGGCAAAAGAAAGGCAGAGAUUUACAAUUUACGUACAAAUCGAUCAGCCGGGCACCGUGUUCACUUAAGCUAUCGCGUUCCGCCGACCUCGUGCGCUUUUGUCGUCCUCGCACCAUCUCAUUGGACUGGGCCGCAUCAUGCUCAUGGGCCGAUGGCUUUGCUAUGUUCUGCCGGUGUUUAGCCAUUGCCAUUGGAUGCUGCACGGACGGUGAUCCGUCUCGGACGUCCCUCUGCAGUAGUUUUGUUCUACGUCAGAGGAUCUCGUUCCCAUAAUUCGUUGGCCGUAAACCAUUAGGGUCAAUUUGAUAUUAUUGGCUAAUUCCGAAAUGUAUAAAUAUAGUAUAUUUCCUCUAUUCCUAAAUAUAACUUUUUUUAGAGAUUUUAAUAUAAACUAUAUAUGGAUGUAUAUAGACGUAGUUUAGAGUGUAGAUUCAUUCAUUUUACUAUAUAUUUUACUCCGUAUGUAGUCCAUAUUAAGAUGUCUAAAAAGACUUAUAUUUAGAAACAUAUAACUUCCUGCAUUGACAGCAGUAAGCUGCCUCACUUCAUUAGUCCGGCGAGAAUUACACUUCGAUUCCCACCCAGGCACCUAUUUAAUUACAGUGUUUCACAGAUGUUUUUUAAAACUAGACGUAUUGUUUCCUUCUUUUUCCUAAAUGCAUCCGCUGCCCUGUAUGCGCUAAUCAAGUUUGCCUAAAAAGUAAAAUCAGCUCGUAGACACUCACGGGUAUAUUUACUACGUAGAAGCGUGACCAAGGCAUAGAAUAAACAUAAUUUUGUUCGUGCUUUGUUUGGUCCAAAUAUGCAGUGUGAAAGAAGAUAUUAUUUGUAAAUUCUGCUUGUGUAGGGCGAGAAUGGAUGGAAGAAAUCGUGUAUUCAGUUUCUGUUUUUGUUUAUUUAAAAUAGGACGACGAUAACUGUCACACGUGUGGCUGUUAAGGGAUCUGCCCACACGUUUUGUGUGGUGUCUAAGAGGAUCAGCUCACACGCCUACGUGUGGGCAAAAUAACUAGCGUCCACACGUCUUUUAUUUUUCCUAGCGGGCCCUCUCACACGCCUACGUGUGGGCAAAUUGCAUAACGCCCACACGACCUCUCUCAGCCACCUACCUCACGUCCCGCACGCCCAGCGUGACAGUCACCACGCGUCCCUGCAGUUGCCAUGGUCCGGACCCUCUCCAAUGUCCGUUUACCUGCAGUUGCCAUGUCGCUGAAUUACAGUUGCCAUGUCGGACAACUACAGUUGCCAUGGUUGCUCAACUGCAGUUGCCAUCUCAGGUCAAGUGCCAGAUGCCAUUUUGGACAACUGCAGCUGUUGCCAUGUAUGGUCUGGUUUACUAUAGUUGCCAUGAUUUGAAAACUUUAGAUGUUGCCACCUACUAACACUAAGCAGUUGCCAUGUAUGGUCUGGUUUACUACAGUUGUCGUGAUUUGAAAACCUUAGGAGUUGCCACCUACUAACACUAGGCAGUUGCCGUGUAGCGCUACAAAGAGAUAUGGCAAAACAACAUGUUCGGGUAAAAGAGAGAGUUGCCAUCUGCUUACAAGCACAUUAGUGCAGUUGUCGUGUACCCUGCAAAACAUAUGGCAACUGACAUGUUCGGGUAAAAAAAAGAGAGAGUUGCCAUCUACUUACAAGCACACUAGGGCAGUUGCCAUGUACACUGCAAAGCGCAUGGCAACUGGCAGCUUGGAUGUGGGAAAGGAGACGGGCGUGUGGGCGAGAUGGAAAAUGCCCACACAGCAGCCCUUGUGCGUGAGUGAAAACUGGCGUGUGGGCGAACUACUAAACGCUCACACACCGUCCCCUCCGUGUGGUGAAACAGACGUGGGGCGACCGAGUGAAUGCCCACACACCAGCCCAGUCCUACAUGGCACCACAAGCAUGCUAAGAUUCGUGCACCCACAAACGGACAUGGAUUCACGCAUGUGGGCGAGAUGCAAACGCCCAUACGUGUGGGCUUUAGUGUUCCCGUUAAAAUAUCUAUAUACUUGUGGUUUUUAAAUUGUUCAUUACCCUUCUUCAAUUUUUUUGUUAUCUUUGAUCUCCUUCCUCAAUCCUUUGGACAUCAUCAAAUAUUUAUCCCGUCACAACGUUGGACACCUUAUACUAUCUUUCUAGAAGAUAGGUGGUACCAAAUCAAGAAAUUCUUUGAAAACAAAUUUGUUGUAUAAAUGGCCCAUAUUAAGAGGAUUCACUUAUGUAUUUGUUUGCAAAGAAAAUUGCAGCUUCCUUUUACAAGAUGAAAAUAUGCUAAUUUUCAUUUGUCAUAGGGGCAGAUUAAAUUCUGAAGGAGGCUCCGCUGAACCUAUAGGAUGCAUUGUUUGGACAACGGCUCGUAGCAACGCACCAGCAUAUUUACUAGUGGCUUCUCAUAUCGAGAGAGGUUGAGGGGCGGUAGAACACAAUUCUAUAAGAAUGCACUGAAAAUGGAAGAGAUCCCUCAAAUUGGUCAGUUCACCAGUCAGAUUGAUUAUUUUCUCCAUAACUGGAGGCACCCCUGAGUUGUACUCCCUCCGUUCGGAAUUACUUGUCGCGAAAAUGGAUGUAUCUAGACGUAUUUUAGUUCUAGAUACAUCCAUAUUCGAGACAAGUAAUUUCGAACAGAGGGAGUAGGUGUUACUGUAGACAAGAUUGUCUCCUUCGGCAAAUGCUAGAAAUCUGAGCAAUGGAUGAUAUAGUAGUAUAUGGAGUCUGGAUGUCAUACUCCCACCCCAAGUCAGAGCAGCCAAAGGAGUUACUUCCCUAGUCAGACAAAGGAGUUUCUGCUUUUGUUUAUUUAAAAUAUCUAUAUACUUGUGGCUCUUAAAUUGUUCAUUACCGUUUUUCAAUUUUUUGUUAUGUUUGAUCUCCUUCCUCAAUCCUUUGGACAUCAUCAAAUAUUUAUCCCGUCACAACGUUGGACACCUUAUACUAUCUUUACAGAAGAUAGGUGGUACCAAAUCAAGAAAUUCUUUGAAAACAAAUUUGUUGUAUAAAUGGCCCAUAUUAAGAGGAUUCACUUAUGUAUUUGUUUGCAAAGAAAAUUGCAGCUUCAUUUUACAAGAUGAAAAUAUGCUAAUUUUCAUUUGUCAUAGGGGCAGAUUAAAUUCUGAAGGAGGCUCCGCUGGACCUAUAGGAUGCAUUGUUUGGACAACGGCCCAUAGCAAUGCACCAGCAUAUUUACUAGUGGCUUCUCAUAUCGAGAGAGGUUGAGGGGCGGUAGAACGCAAUUCUAUAAGAAUGCACUGAAAAUGGAAGAGAUCCCUCAAAUUGGUCAGUUCACCAGUCAGAUUGAUUAUUUUCUCCAUAACUGGAGGCACCCCUGAGUUGUACUCCCUCCGUUCGGAAUUACUUGUCGCGAAAAUGGAUGUAUCUAAACGUAUUUUAGUUCUAGAUACAUCCAUAUUCGAGACAAGUAAUUCCGAACGGAGGAAGUAGGUGUUACUGUAGACAAGAUUGUCUCCUUCGGCAAAUGCUAGAAAUCUGAGCAAUGGAUGAUAUAGUAGUAUAUGGAGUCUGGAUGUCAUACUCCCACCCCAAGUCAGAGCAGCCAAAGGAGUUACUUCCCUAGUCAGACAAAGGAGUUUCUGCUUUUGUUUAUUUAAAAUAUCUAUAUACUUGUGGCUCUUAAAUUGUUCAUUACCGCUCUUCAAUUUUUUGUUAUGUUUGAUCUCCUUCCUCAAUCCUUUGGACAUCAUCAAAUAUUUAUCCCGUCACAACGUUGGACACCUUAUACUAUCUUCACAGAAGAUAGGUGGUACCAAAUCAAGAAAUUCUUUGAAAACAAAUUUGUUGUAUAAAUGGCCCAUAUUAAGAGGAUUCACUUAUGUAUUUGUUUGCAAAGAAAAUUGCAGCUUCAUUUUACAAGAUGAAAAUAUGCUAAUUUUCAUUUGUCAUAGGGGCAGAUUAAAUUCUGAAGGAGGCUCCGCUGGACCUAUAGGAUGCAUUGUUUAGACAACGGCCCGUAACAACGCACGGGCAUAUUUACUAGUGGCUUCUCAUAUCGAGAGGGGUUGAGGGGCGGUAGAACGCAAUUCUAUAAGAAUGCACUGAAAAUGGAACAGAUCCCUCAAAUUGGCCAGUUCACCAGUCAGAUUGAUUAUUUUCUCCAUAACUGGAGGCACCCCUGAGUUGUACUCCCUCCGUUCGGAAUUACUUGUCGCGAAAAUGGAUGUAUGUAGACGUAUUUUAGUUCUAGAUACAUCCAUAUUCGAGACAAGUAAUUCCGAACGGAGGGAGUAGGUGUUACUGUAGACAAGAUUGUCUCCUUCGGCAAAUGCUAGAAAUCUGAGCAAUGGAUGAUAUAGUAGUAUAUGGAGUCUGGAUGUCAUACUCCCACCCCAAGUCAGAGCAGCCAAAGGAGUCACUUCCCUAGUCAGACAAAGGAGUUUCUGCUUUUGUUUAUUUAAAAUAUUUAUAUACUUGUGGCUCUUAAAUUGUUCAUUACCGUUCUUCAAUUUUUUGUUAUGUUUGAUCUCCUUCCUCAAUCCUUUGGACAUCAUCAAAUAUUUAUCCCGUCACAAUGUUGGACACCUUAUACUAUCUUUACAGAAGAUAGGUGGUACCAAAUCAAGAAAUUCUUUGAAAACAAAUUUGUUGUAUAAAUGGCCCAUAUUAAGAGGAUUCACUUAUGUAUUUGUUUGCAAAGAAAAUUGCAGCUUCAUUUUACAAGAUGAAAAUUUGCUAAUUUUCAUUUGUCAUAGGGGCAGAUUAAAUUCUGAAGGAGGCUCCACUGGACCUAUAAGAUGCAUUGUUUGGACAACGGCCCGUAGCAACGCACCAGCAUAUUUACUAGUGGCUUCUCAUAUCGAGAGAGGUUGAGGGGCGGUAGAACGCAAUUCUAUAAGAAUGCACUGAAAAUGGAAUAGAUCCCUCAAAUUGGUCAGUUCACCAGUCAGAUUGAUUAUUUUCUCCAUAACUGGAGGCACCCCUGAGUUGUACUCCCUCCGUUCGGAAUUACUUGUCGCGAAAAUGGAUGUAUCUAAACGUAUUUUAGUUCUAGAUACAUCCAUAUUCGAGACAAGUAAUUCCGAACGGAGGAAGUAGGUGUUACUGUAGACAAGAUUGUCUCCUUCGGCAAAUGCUAGAAAUCUGAGCAAUGGAUGAUAUAGUAGUAUAUGGAGUCUGGAUGUCAUACUCCCACCCCAAGUCAGAGCAGCCAAAGGAGUUACUUCCCUAGUCAGACAAAGGAGUUUCUGCUUUUGUUUAUUUAAAAUAUCUAUAUACUUGUGGCUCUUAAAUUGUUCAUUACCGUUCUUCAAUUUUUUGUUAUGUUUGAUCUCCUUCCUCAAUCCUUUGGACAUCAUCAAAUAUUUAUCCCGUCACAACGUUGGACACCUUAUACUAUCUUUACAGAAGAUAGGUGGUACCAAAUCAAGAAAUUCUUUGAAAACAAAUUUGUUGUAUAAAUGGCCCAUAUUAAGAGGAUUCACUUAUGUAUUUGUGUUGCGAGAAAAUUGCAGCUUCAUUUUACAAGAAAAUAUGCUAAUUUUCAUUUGUCAUAGGGGCAGAUUAAAUUUUGAAGGAGGCUCUGCUGGACCUAUAGGAUGCAUUGUUUAGACAACGGCCCGUAACAACGCACGGGCAUAUUUACUAGUGGCUUCUCAUAUCGAGAGGGGUUGAGAGGCCGUAGAACGCAAUUCUAUAAGAAUGCAUUGAAAAUGGAACAGAUCCCUCAAAUUGGUCAGUUCACCAGUCAGAUUGAUUAUUCUUCUCCAUAACUGGAGGCACCCCUGAGUUGUAGGUGUUACUGUAGACAAGAUUGUCUCCUUCGGCAAAUGCUAGAAAUCUCAGCAAUGGAUGAUAUAGUAGUACUAUAUGGAGUCCCAGCCCAAGUCAGAGCAGCCAAAGGAGUUAGUACUUCCCUAGUCAGACGAUAAGUACCCAUAGAUGCCUCGUUAAUGCCAGCAUACUUGUGUCCACUGUCCAGGCUACAACACUACCAUGGGUCCACAACAUAUACGUGAGGUAUUUGUUUGCUCACCAACAAAAAUCAGUCCACUCUAUUUAAAGGGAAGAAAGAGCCACCAGAACUCAAACAAACACAAUUGUUGUUCUUAAAACGAGGAGAGGACUGGUGCAAUGCCAAAAUGGUAGCCCCAAAUAGUUGUGUGAUUGGACUAGAAUUAGGAGUCAUCGGGAAGAAAACAACUGGCUUCUCCAUAACAGCCUCCAGCAAGCUCAAGAAAUAUAGCAGGUCCAGUACUAAUACCUGUAUGUAUAUGCGCUAAUGGCCGGAGAUUACCUACCCAAUUAUGUCACUUUUAAGCCCAAAGUCCGUGGAAACUACCUAGGUGAAUACCUUUGGUGAACGCCAUGUGAUUGUCGAGUAACAAUAACUUACUCAUCGUAAGAAGGUGACGUGCACUACUUAUGACGACGAUGUCAAAUCAAAUCAACAAUAAGCCCACCAAUUCAGGCUGAAGCACAGGCGCUGAAGCUAGCUGCCAUGCUAGCCAAGCCAAGCAAAUGCAUAUGCAGGACGCCACGUUUCUAACAGACUACCUAACGCUAGCGAAAGCAGCCGCAGCAAGAAAUCCAAGGAACCAUCCUCCCGGGCGCUGAAAAAUCAGAUCAGCUCUUGUAGAUUUCUGUGUAUUUACAAGUACUUUAUCAGCUCAGGUCUAUAUCACAUAUCCAGGACUUUCAAUGAAAGCGCUCACAUCUUCGCUCAACGGUCGACAGUCAGGACACUGUCGCUACCACAGUUUUUUAGCGGCAAUAGUUCUACCCACGAUUAGAAUGCAAUGCCCAAUGUUUCACAGAUUUUAUCCCCGAGGGCUUUGCUAUCCUCAGUGUAAUCUGUGCUUCGGUGGAAUAUAUGGCGCCUGCGCCUUUUCUUGUUCAGAGAAAAAGAAUGCGAUGUGCACUACUUAUGCCGACGACUUCGAAUCAAAUCAAGGACCUAACAUGACAAUGACAUGAGACCACCAAUUCGGUGAAGGUACUAGUAAUAAAUCAAGUGAAAUGUACAUGUUGUUCACAUGGCUUCUCACAUCGAGAGGGACUGAGAGACAGUAAAGUGCAUUGCUAUAAAGAAUGCACUGAAAUGGAAUAGAAUGGAACAGAUCCCUGGAAUUAUGAAUUAGGCGCCCUAAAUAUUUAUAAGAACUACUCCCUCCGUCGACGUUUUUUUAUUCUAGUGUAGUGUCAAAAAAAAACGUCUUACAUUAUGGGACAGAGGGAGUACAUCGGUGAGAACUAAAUGUAGAAAAAAUGACUCCCGAUGAUCAUGCAGCUAGUAUCAAAAAUUAGUAAAUCUGGGUUUUUUUAAACAAAUCUGGUAUGUUUUGCCAGAGCCUAAGUGAAAAGAGGAGUAUAAUAUAAAUUACCACACCUGUACAGCAAAAACUGUGCAAACAGCCAGGAAAAUCCAUAUUUAACAGAUAAACUUAUGCUCAGAAAUAAGAUAUAUAGGUUACUUCUAUUACCACAGAUUAAAGCAAACUGGACACAGAUCCAUGCUGUUCACAUUCAGAAAUGGUAGCGACGAUAUAAGAGUUGACAAAAGAUAAAGACAACGGUUCGUCAGACUCAUAAAUGACAACGGUUCAUCGACAGUCACCUAGGGAAAGGGUCGACUACUAAAGAGACUCAGGAUGCGACUUUUUUGCAUCUAAGCUUGCACAUAGGCAUAUACUAACCAAAGGUGACAACAGGGUGCUUCCCAAUCUCCCAUAGUCUUAUUCCUGAAACACGCAACAAAAAGUUCAGGAUAAUGAAAAGAUUAUCAACCUCAGACCGAACAUCCAAAUUGCGAAGGCUUACCCUUUGUCCUGAUAUACAGGGGUUUGAAUCCCUCAGAAAAUUUUGCCACAGAUGGGCAUGUCAUCGAAGCUCCAAAGGUCCAUGUUGCCAACGACAUCCUGAGGCACAUCAAAAUUCAGAAGGCUAUCAAUCGGCUCAUCCACGCCAUCAUCCAAAAGAAACCUCAUCCAAGGUUCAAAAUCAACAGCAUUGUUCUCCAUAACAGGAGGCACCACUGAGUUGUAGGUGUUGCUCUGGACAGGCGCAGAUUCAGCUCCUUCAGCAAUCACCGCUGGGUUGUAGGUUUUACUCUGGAGAACUGCAG
rnacentral:lncRNA from 1 species